UACGUAGGGUGCAAGCGUUGUCCGGAAUUUAUUUUGGGCGUAAAGGGCGCGUAGGCGGCGUUGUUUAAGUCGGCUGUGAAAGCCCGGGGGCUCAACCCCCGGAGGGUCAGCCGAUACUGGCAUGCUAGAGUACGGAAGAGGUAGCUGGAAUUUCCCGGUGUAGCGGUGAAAUGCGUAGAUAUCGGGAGGAACACCUGAGGCGAAGGCGGGCUACUUGGGCCGAUACUGACGCUGAUGUGCGAAGCCAGGGGAGCGAACGGG
rnacentral:rRNA from 1 species